UGGCACAGUUCCUGGAAUGGUUGCGCCCAUUAUUGCUGGAGCAUUGACCCCGAACAAAACUUCAGAAGAAUGGAAUCAUGUUUUUUAUGUUUGUGCUGGAUUAACAACUCUUGGGGCGGUAGUGUUUUUAUGUCUAUCAGAUGGAGAGCUCCAAGACUGGGCGACUGAGAGUGAUGGGAAGUCAAAUUCUGUACAGUACUCUUUCAGUCAGGACCAAGAAACUCAAGCACAGUCCAAACAAAACGAGGCUGAUGAGACUUUAUAGAUAAAAGAAAUUUCUAGGACCCAGUGAUAUGAGUGAAAUUUUAACUUCACCAUUUAUUCUCUAAUGUUCUUAUAAAUAUUGAGCUUUUAACGAC
rnacentral:sRNA from 1 species